AGUUUGAUCCUGGCUCAGGAUGAACGCUAGCGACAGGCUUAACACAUGCAAGUCGAGGGGCAGCGAGGGAGUGGCAACACUUCUGUCGGCGACCGGCGCACGGGUGAGUAACGCGUAUGCAACCUGCCCUUCACAGGGGGAUAACCGGGAGAAAUUCCGACUAAUACCGCAUACGUCCUCCGGGGGCAUCCCCGGGGGAUGAAAGAAUUAUCGGUGAAGGAUGGGCAUGCGUGAUAUUAGGUAGUUGGCGGGGCAACGGCCCACCAAGCCUACGAUAUCUAGGGGUUCUGAGAGGAAGGUCCCCCACAUUGGUACUGAGACACGGACCAAACUCCUACGGGAGGCAGCAGUGAGGAAUAUUGGUCAAUGGACGAGAGUCUGAACCAGCCAAGUCGCGUGAAGGAAGACGGAUCUAUGGUUUGUAAACUUCUUUAGUGCGGGAACAAAGCGGUGUCGUGACACCGGAUGAGUGUACCGCAAGAAUAAGCAUCGGCUAACUCCGUGCCAGCAGCCGCGGUAAUACGGAGAAUGCGAGCGUUAUCCGGAUUUAUUGGGUUUAAAGGGAGCGCAGGCUGCGAGGCAAGUCAGCGGUCAAAUGUCGGGGCUCAACCCCGGCCUGCCGUUGAAACUGUCCUGCUAGAGUUCGAGUGAGGUAUGCGGAAUGCGUUGUGUAGCGGUGAAAUGCAUAGAUAUGACGCAGAACUCCGAUUGCGAAGGCAGCAUACCAACUCGCGACUGACGCUGAGGCUCGAAAGCGUGGGUAUCGAACAGGAUUAGAUACCCUGGUAGUCCACGCAGUAAACGAUGAAUACUAACUGUUCGGAGGGCGACCUCUGAGUGGUAAAGCGAAAGCGUUAAGUAUUCCACCUGGGGAGUACGCCGGCAACGGUGAAACUCAAAUGAAUUGA
rnacentral:rRNA from 1 species